rnacentral:lncRNA from 7 species
CCCAUCUGUUUGCAGUGGGCAAAUGUGCUUCAUCUUGAAUUCGCAUUCACAAACGCAGCAACCCGGGGGCCUUUUCACAGCACCUUAAGCAGACUGAAGUGGAGCUGGCGCAUAAUCAGCGACGGAACAGCUGUUAUCCAGAGAUAACAGAGGCUGCAGAUGUGCAUGGGGUCAAGGGAGACAAUGCCGUGAGUGGAAAAGUCAUACAAUGGAGUUCUGUGUAUUUUCUUCAGAUGUGGAGAACAAAAAAGCAGUGACCUUUUGUCUGUUGCUGUCACUCCCUGCCUCACCAUUAAGAUCCCAGGACUGCUGAUUAUUCCUUCUCCUUGGUAGACCAAGCUCACCCACAAAAAACGUGAGAGGCUUCUAAACUUCAGCCAAAUAGACAUCCCAGGCUCUUUGCUUCCAGGAACGGAAAACUGAAGAUAACACAAGAUGGCCAUCUCACCUGCUCCAGUGCUCCGACCAGAUAGCAAUGGCACACAGCAGCGAGGGAACGUGCAACCCCGGUGCCUGCUACUGUACCUCCUCCAUGACUGCAAACAACCUGAACACUCAAAUCACUUUGUGUUUCUCCUACUCAUUUGGCAUCCAUCAAAAGCAUUAAAUUCAUUCAAGUG